GUUUCCGUAGGUGAACCUGCGGAAGGAUCAUUGUCGUGACCCUGACCAAAACAGACCGCGCACGAGUUAUCUAGCCCGCUGGGCGGCGGCAUCGUCCGUCGCUUGGCAAAAGUCCUCGACAACCUCAUCUUUUCGGAGUUGGGGCUCGGGGUAAAAGAACCCACGGCGCCGAAGGCGUCAAGGAACACUGUGCCUAACGAGGGGAUGUGGCUGGCUUGCUAGCCGCACCCCGAGUUGCAAUUCUAUAUAAUCCACACGACUCUCGGCAACGGAUAUCUCGGCUCUCGCAUCGAUGAAGAACGUAGCGAAAUGCGAUACCUGGUGUGAAUUGCAGAAUCCCGCGAACCAUCGAGUCUUUGAACGCAAGUUGCGCCCGAGGCCUCUUGGCCGAGGGCACGCCUGCCUGGGCGUCACGCCAAACACGCUCCCACCCAACUAACUUGGGGUGGGACGCGGCAUGUGGCUCCUCGUCCCGCAAGGGGCGGUGGGCCAAAGAUCCGGCUGCCGGCCUAUCGUGCCGGACACAGCGCGUGGUAGGCGACCUCGCUUUACUAAACGCAGUGCCUCCGGCGCGUAGCCGACGCGAUGGCCCGAAUGGACCCUUUUAACGGAGUGCAUGACGCUUCGACCGCGACCCCAGGUCAGGCGGGACUACCCGCUGAGUUUAAGCAUAUC
rnacentral:rRNA from 1 species